UACGUAGGGUGCAAGCGUUAAUCGGAAUUACGGGGCGUAAAGCGUGCGCAGGCGGUGAUGUAAGACAGAUGUGAAAUCCCCGGGCUCAACUUGGGAACUGCAUUUGUGACUGCAUCGCUGGAGUGCGGCAGAGGGGGAUGGAAUUCCGCGUGUAGCAGUGAAAUGCGUAGAUAUGCGGAGGAACACCGAUGGCGAAGGCAAUCCCCUGGGCCUGCACUGACGCUCAUGCACGAAAGCGUGGGGAGCAAACAGG
rnacentral:rRNA from 1 species